CCCUCAUGAUCUCCCAGUGCACUCUCUGGCGAUGACUGGGAGCGAUGUCUCUCCCUCUUAGUGUACACCCCAGCUAUCUCCCUCUGUCUCUCGGACGGAGUUAUGCCUCUCACUCUUAUGAAGCACUGCCCUGUCCCUGUCUGUAGAUGCUCCAACUCCGAGUCAGAGAGUAGGACGGGACACGCUGCAACGCAAUAACUCAUCUUUUUCUUCUAACAGCAGCCGGCACAUUCUCCGGCUGUGAGCGGUGCCUUCAUGGAUUCUCCAUAUAAUGGCAACGCGUCCCUGCAGACCUCCACGUCCAACCUCAACGCCAGUUACUCACGACCCUCAGAAGCUGAGGAUGAUGGAAAAGUGUCCAGUGACACCAUAUGGCUGUGGAUCGCUGUGCUGGCGACCAUUGGCAACAUAGUGGUGGUGGCUGUGGUGUGUGCCUGCGCCUUCUGACCCCGCAGAGGAGCGGGGAAGAAACAAGACUGCCGUCAGACAGAUGAACUUUUACGUUACUUUUUCUCCUUGGUUAAAACGAAGAAAGAUGCUUUAUUGAUUAAUCAACACGGAGGCAUUUAUUUGUUUGCAGUGUGUGGUUUAAUUUGAGGUAUGCAGGGAAGCUGUUUGUGAAAAUAUCAUUCAGUGACCUUUUAAAACAAAUAGAAAAGCAUGAAAUGCUAGCAAACAAAUACAACACUCAGCUUAUAUAAAGCAAAAACAGUUGAAUUUCUAGACCGUACAUUCUGCUCAGUUACAACCUGCAAUAACCACAACUCUGCACACUGAAGCAGAAACUUCAGGACAAUCAACAAUUGCCUUUUACGUUUAUUUAAAUAAUUUUUUUAUCUUGAAAUAAAUUGCUCUAGAUUUAUGCUCUAAGUUCAGACACUGACUUCAUAUGCGACCCAAAACUAUCGUCUUCAUUUCUUCGUAAUUUGUGACUUUCAUCCGUUCAAUUUCAAGAUAAUAUAAUAACAUCAAACUGUUAUGCUUAAGUAUUUUGACCAUGGUUAGUUCAUUUUCACAACAAUGAUGUAAACCGUGUGUUUUUCUCUACAAAUGGUUCUGACUGCAUUUAGAAGAACAUGUCUCUAGGUCUGCCCUUUAAAGCUGAAAGUUAACUGGGUCACAGAAAUGUCUCUUUCAGUUUCCACAUGAACUGUGUAUUAACAUUUUUAAUGAGAAAAAGUCCCAGAGCAAAUACCUGCAUUGUUUUCCUACUUUGUUUUAGGUACCAGGCAGAAAACAAAAUAUGGCCUGAAAAUAAAAGCACCACGCUAGCCGUUGGUUAUGCAAACUAGGCCACUAUUAUAUAAACCUAUGGUAUAUGAGCACAUACCAUCGCUGAUUACAGCCCAGGCUUAGCAGAGGUCAGGAUUAGACCAGAUCAUAGCUGGAUCUCUUAGUGGAAUUAGACAACAGGACAUCAUCCAGUCAUUAUUGUUACAUUAUCGUUUCAAACAGUGGUUGAAGUUCAAGGUUUCAGUGAGUGGCAAUGCUUGAUCAAAACUUUCAAGUCCAUACUGGUUGUUUUCAUCCUCUUGUUUUAGUUCCUCUUGUGUUGUUUUGCAGACUUGAGUUGGUUGAUUUUAAAGACUUAACUUUGAUUGCUGCUCAUCACUUUUCUGCAGUGACUCAAUGACCUUACAAAGCAGUAAAUCCUGACCCUUAAUAGUCAGACCACUUGAGUACCCAUCAUGUUUCUGUUUCCUACAGUGUUGCAUGCAGUUUAUAUUAUAAUGUCAUUGCCGACGUAAAGUCCUCUGCUGUAUUUUCCCCAACUGGACUGGAGCAGCUUGUUGUUUGGGGGUAUUAGCGGCAGAACUGCAAUGCUAUCUAUAGUUUAUAAAAUCAUUAUCAUUAGAAUGUGUAAUUAUUAUUUGAAAUCCAUGGAUGUGUAUUUGAUGUUGGCAAAGGAGCCAAAAAA